UGGGGAAUAUUGCACAAUGGGCGCAAGCCUGAUGCAGCCAUGCCGCGUGUGUGAAGAAGGCCUUCGGGUUGUAAAGCACUUUCAGCGAGGAGGAAGGUGGUGAACUUAAUACGUUCAUCAAUUGACGUUACUCGCAGAAGAAGCACCGGCUAACUCCGUGCCAGCAGCCGCGGUAAUACGGAGGGUGCAAGCGUUAAUCGGAAUUACUGGGCGUAAAGCGCACGCAGGCGGUUUGUUAAGUCAGAUGUGAAAUCCCCGGGCUCAACCUGGGAACUGCAUUUGAAACUGGCAAGCUAGAGUCUCGUAGAGGGGGGUAGAAUUCCAGGUGUAGCGGUGAAAUGCGUAGAGAUCUGGAGGAAUACCGGUGGCGAAGGCGGCCCCCUGGACGAAGACUGACGCUCAGGUGCGAAAAGCGUGGGGAGCAAAACAGGAUUAGAUACCCUGGUAGUCCACGCUGUAAAACGAUGUCGAUUUUGGAGGUUGUGCCCUUGAGGCGUGGCUUCCGGAGCUAACGCGUUAAAUCGACCGCCUGGGGAGUACGGCCGCAAGGUUAAAACU
rnacentral:rRNA from 1 species